CUAGUACUUCUUCUGUCUGAAAAUACUUGUUACAGAAAUGCAUAAAAAUGAAUAUAUCUAAAACUAAAAUACGUCUAGAUUCAUCCAUUCUUUUGACAAGUAUUUUCGGACGGAGGGAGUAUUAU
rfam:Triticum aestivum genome assembly, contig: Triticum_aestivum_CS42_TGACv1_scaffold_513242_6BS